AUGUUCGAUCUUAUUUUUUUUUUUGAUAAAAGUGGGUUUGGAGAGGUCAUGACUUUAAUUAAUGUUAAUCCCACUAUUUUGGAAGAGUGUCAACUUCACAUGCAUGUGGAUCGUGUUGAAAAUAUUGUAUGUGAUGGCUAUUUUGUUGAAUUUUCUUAUGAUCCCACAUGUAAUUAUUAUGAGAGAGGAAAAUAUGGUUUUAGAAACUUUCAUGUUACUAAAUUACCUCUCGUUAUGUUGAGAUUGCCAUUGUUUCUUUCUGCUUCCUUGCAUAUGCUAGUUUUUGCUUGUUGUGAUAAUUUGUUUGCCUAUAAGAUGCCUAUGCAUAGGAAGUAUGUCAGACUUAGAUGUGUUUGUCACGUGUUUCAUGAUGCUCUCUUUGCGCUUCAAUUCUUGUCUUUCAUGCGAGCAUCAUCGAAAUCUCAAUGCCUAGCUAGGGGCGUUAAACGAUAG
rnacentral:rRNA from 1 species